rnacentral:rRNA from 1 species
GAGGAAUAUUGGUCAAUGGGCGGAAGUCUGAACCAGCCAAGUAGCGUGCAGGAUGACGGCCCUAUGGGUUGUAAACUGCUUUUGUAUGGGGAUAAAGUUAGGGACGUGUCCCUAUUUGCAGGUACCAUACGAAUAAGGACCGGCUAAUUCCGUGCCAGCAGCCGCGGUAAUACGGAAGGUCCAGGCGUUAUCCGGAUUUAUUGGGUUUAAAGGGAGCGUAGGCUGGAGAUUAAGUGUGUUGUGAAAUGUAGACGCUCAACGUCUGAAUUGCAGCGCAUACUGGUUUCCUUGAGUACGCACAACGUUGGCGGAAUUCGUCGUGUAGCGGUGAAAUGCUUAGAUAUGACGAAGAACUCCGAUUGCGAAGGCAGCUGACGGGAGCGCAACUGACGCUUAAGCUCGAAGGUGCGGGUAUCAAACAGGAUUAGAUACCCUGGUAGUCCGCACAGUAAACGAUGGAUGCCCGCUGUUGGUACCUGGUAUCAGCGGCUAAGCGAAAGCAUUAAGCAUCCCACCUGGGGAGUACGCCGGCAACGGUG